GGUCCAUUUCGGAGUCUGAGCUGACUUUCUACAGGACAGGGUUUCAUAUAAAUCAUCAGUGAAGUCUUCUCAACCAGGUCAAUCACGAGAACUUAGAAGAUGAUUCCUCCCCAGCUGAUCCUCAGGGUCUGAAGCCACGCAGGCUGGAGUGCAGUGGCACAAUUAUGGCUCACUGUAGUCUCACCUUCCUGGAAUCAAGCAAUCCUCUUUCUUCAGCCUCCAGAGGAGCUGGGACCACAGAAGGAAUGGUACCAGUUACUCCUUGUACCUCUGGUAGAAUUCGGCUGUGAAUCCAUCUGGUCCUGGACUCUUUUUGGUUGAAACAGGUUCUCACUAUGUUGCCCAAGCUGGUCCUGAACCCCUAGCCUCAAGUAAUCCUCCUGCCUCAACCUACCAAAGCAUUGGUAUUACAAGUUUGACCCACCGUGAUCAGUCCAGGGUAGGAAAUGGAAUCUUAACAACUAUCACAUGAACUUUGAGGGGAUCCUUCUCUGGAUGAGCCUUCAGUUGAGACCUCAGCCUUGGACAUCAUCUACAUCUGGAUUCCUGACCCAGAGCAACUAGAUAUUUGCCUAUGCCUCGCAUACCCCAGAAAGGCCCAUUUUCAGAUAUCAUUUAGGAACAUAUCUACGGGUUCCCACUGAACAUAUUUUGGCAGACAAAGUUUCUGGAUGCCAAAGACCAAGAUUGAGGAAUGUUAGUGACAAGAAAUGAAUUUUAUGGAACCUUGUAUUCUGUUGAGUAACAGAAUUAUAUCAGCAAUCCCAAAGUCACCAAAUGGGCAUCAUCAUGACAGCAGGAUUUCAUCCAGGAUACCUCAUCACAGCCUGGAGUGCAGUGUCAUGAGCUUGGCUCACUACAGCCUCCAUCUUCUGAGCUUAAGGAUCCUUCCCUCUCAACCUCCAGGGUAGCUGAGACUACAGGCUUUGAAUAACUCACCAGUGAAGUCAUCUUGACCUGGACAGAAAUUGAAUCCUCCCAAGAAUCCCAGGAGCUUGGAAGGGGAUCCUUCCCCAGAUGAGCCUUCCCUUGAAAUCUCUGCCAGGCAUCUGACCCAGAGAAACUGUCAGAGAGGUUAAUCCUAAGAACAGUUACAUGAGCUUGGAAGGAGACCCUUCCCCAGCUGAGCCUUAGCCUGGACCAUCACCUACAUCUGGACUGAAGACCUAGAGAAAC
rnacentral:lncRNA from 1 species